AGACAUGAGAAUGAGGCGAACACAGUAAACAACCAAAACGGUUCAGCAGCAGUUGAGUUAAAUGUUACGGUAGAUCAGUACAGUGCAGUGAAGUGGACAGAAAACAGUAAAAAUCCACCAUACAUAAAACAGAAACAAUUCAAUCGCUGAUAAAAUUUUAUAAGCCGAAAGUAAGCAACAUGUUCUAAUAUAUUUAACGUAAUAUGUGUGGAUAUAGUUAACAAAUGAAAUCGUUUGCAAAUCGGCCAGAACACAAAUUUUAAUUAUGUACCAAUACAAUAAAAUUCUAAGCGGCCCAACAACAAAUAUUAAUAGAAAUGAAAAAGUGUAUAAAAAGAAGAAGAAGAAGAAAAAAGCGCCAACAGAAGGGCAGGCAUUCGACUUCGCCUUUGCAUAUGGCACACAAAUUCGUGGGAUUGAACAGUUUGAUAGAAUUGGACAGAAUAUGAAAAAGAUAAAGUAUUAACAGCUAAAGACUUGAUACAUUAAAGACAAAACGGACAAGAAAUGCAUUAAAUACUCGAUUAUUUAAUCAUUCACUUAUUUAAAUAAACCUAAAUAAUAAUAAUUAUAUUAUUAAAAACAAAAAAUACAAAAAAUACACACAUAAAUAAUACAUGAAGCUCAAAUAGACUGAAAUAGAGUCCAAAUAUAUUACGAAAGUAAAUGCAA